rnacentral:rRNA from 1 species
ACUACGGGUGGCAGCAGUGAGGAAUAUUGGUCAAUGGCCGGAAGGCUGAACCAGCCAUGCCGCGUGAAGGUCAGUGCCCUAUGGGCGUUAAACUUCUUUUGUGCGGGAGCAAUAAUGGUCACGUGUGGCCAGACGAGAGUACCGUACGAAUAAGCAUCGGCUAACUCCGUGCCAGCAGCCGCGGUAAUACGGGGGAUGCAAGCGUUAUCCGGAUUUAUUGGGUUGAAAGGGUGCGUAGGCUGUAAGGUAAGUCAGCGGUGAAAUGCCCCCGCUCAACGGGGUGAAGUGCCAUUGAUACUACCUUGCGGGAAUGCGGAUGCCGAGGGAGGAAUGUGUGGUGUAGCGGUGAAAUGCAUAGAUAUCACACAGAACACCGAGUGCGAGGGCAUCUCACGAAUCCGCGAUUGACGCUGAUGCACGAAAGCGUGGGUAUCAAACAGGAUUAGAUACCCUGGUAGUC